rnacentral:rRNA from 1 species
CCUACGGGUGGCAGCAGUGAGGAAUAUUGGUCAAUGGGCGCGAGCCUGAACCAGCCAAGUCGCGUGAGGGAAGACGGUCCUAUGGAUUGUAAACCUCUUUUGUCGGGGAGCAAAAGACGCCACGCGUGGCGUUCCGAGCGUACCCGAAGAAAAAGCAUCGGCUAACUCCGUGCCAGCAGCCGCGGUAAUACGGAGGAUGCGAGCGUUAUCCGGAUUUAUUGGGUUUAAAGGGUGCGCAGGCGGAAGAUCAAGUCAGCGGUAAAAUUGAGAGGCUCAACCUCUUCGAGCCGUUGAAACUGGUGUUCUUGAGUGAGUGAGAAGUAGGCGGAAUGCGUGGUGUAGCGGUGAAAUGCAUAGAUAUCACGCAGAACUCCGAUUGCGAAGGCAGCAUACCGGCGCUCAACUGACGCUCAUGCACGAAAGUGUGGGUAUCGAACAGGAUUAGAUACCCCUGUAGUC